GAGUUUGAUCCUGGCUCAGAUUGAACGCUGGCGGCAGGCCUAACACAUGCAAGUCGAGCGGACGUAGCAAUACGUUAGCGGCGGACGGGUGAGGAAUGCAUCGGAACGUGCCGUGUAGUGGGGGAUAACACAGCGAAAGUUGUGCUAAUACCGCAUACGCCCUGAGGGGGAAAGUGGGGGACCGCAAGGCCUCACGCUAUAUGAGCGGCCGAUGCCCGAUUAGCUAGUUGGUGAGGUAAAAGCUCACCAAGGCGACGAUCGGUAGCUGGUUUGAGAGAACGAUCAGCCACACUGGGACUGAGACACGGCCCAGACUCCUACGGGAGGCAGCAGUGGGGAAUCUUGGACAAUGGGGGAAACCCUGAUCCAGCCAUGCCGCGUGAGUGAUGAAGGCCUUAGGGUUGUAAAACUCUUUCGCGCACGACGAUAAUGACGGUAGUGCGAGAAGAAGCUCCGGCUAACUUCGUGCCAGCAGCCGCGGUAAUACGAAGGGGGCUAGCGUUGUUCGGAAUUACUGGGCGUAAAGCGCGCGCAGGCGGCUCUUUAAGUCAGGGGUGAAAGCCCAGAGCUCAACUCUGGAAUUGCCUUUGAAACUAAAGAGCUUGGGUACGGGAGAGGUGAGUGGAAUUCCGAGUGUAGAGGUGAAAUUCGUAGAUAUUCGGAAGAACACCAGUGGCGAAGGCGGCUCACUGGCCCGUUACCGACGCUCAGGCGCGACAGCGUGGGGAGCAAACAGGAUUAGAUACCCCGGUAGUCCCAGCCGUAAACGAUGGACACUAGGUGUCGGGGGUAUCGACCCC
rnacentral:rRNA from 1 species